rnacentral:rRNA from 1 species
UACGUAGGGUGCGAGCGUUGUCCGGAAUUAUUGGGCGUAAAGAGCUCGUAGGCGGCUUGUCGCGUCGAAUGUGAAAACCCGGGGCUCAACCCCGGGCCUGCAGUCGAUACGGGCAGACUAGAGUGCGGUAGGGGAGACUGGAAUUCCUGGUGUAGCGGUGAAAUGCGCAGAUAUCAGGAGGAACACCGGUGGCGAAGGCGGGUCUCUGGGCCGUAACUGACGCUGAGGAGCGAAAGCGUAGGGAGCGAACAGG